GUUCACAUUCGCACACUCUCUCUUUCUCUCUCUACCGAAUCAGCCACACCCCACAAACCCUCUCUUCCAUUUCCAAACCCAAAAUCCCACCUUUCAACUCGAAAGAUAGAGAGAGAGAGAGAGAGGGAGAGAGAAAGUGAGUGAUGGAUUCAGAUCAAGGAAAAGUGUUCAUUGGUGGGAUUUCUUGGGACACAACAGAGGAGAAGCUGAAAGAGUAUUUCGGGAACUACGGUGAUGUCUCUCACGCUUCCGUCAUGAGAGAGAAGAACACUGGCAAACCCAGAGGCUUCGCUUUCGUCGUCUUUUCCGAUCCUUCCAUUCUCGACAAUCUUCUCCAAGACAAGCACGUUAUCGACGGAAGAACCGUUGAUGUCAAGAGAGCCUUCUCAAGAGAGGAUCAACAAAUUUCUGUCACUUCCAGAACUGGAAAUCCCAAUACUAGGAAUUCUGGAAAUGGUGGUAAUAUCAGGACCAAAAAAAUAUUUGUUGGAGGGUUGCCUCCUACCCUGACCGAAGAAAAAUUUCGUCAAUACUUUGAGGCUUAUGGCCCGGUAACUGAUGUGGUAGUCAUGUAUGACCAGAUUACUGGACGAACUAGAGGAUUUGGUUUUAUUUCUUUUGAAAGUGAAGAUGCAGUUGAUAGAGUUUUGCACAAGUCAUUUCAUGAUUUAAAUGGUAAACAAGUAGAGGUAAAGCGUGCACUUCCCAAGGAUGCCAAUCCUGGUGCAAGUGGCCGUGGUGGUGGUGGUGGUGGCGGCGGCAGUGGUGGGUAUCAGGGGUAUGGGGCAUCUGGUGGCAACCAAAAUGCAUAUGAUGGUCGGAUGGAUUCCAGUAGGUAUAUGCAGCCUCAAAACACUGCAGGUGGAUUCCCACCUUAUGGCUCUUCUGGGUAUAGUGCUCCUGGGUAUGGGUAUGGUCCGGCUAAUAGUGCCAUUAGUUAUGGUGCGUAUGGAAGCUAUGGUGCUGCUGCUGCUGGGUAUGGUGGACCUGCUGGCGCAACAUAUGGGAAUCCAAAUGUCCCUAAUGCUGCUUAUGUUGGUGGUCCCCCGGGUGGCGCAAGGAGUUCAUGGCCUGCUCAGGCGCCCUCUGGUUAUGGUUCAAUGGGCUAUGGGAACACCGCCCCUUGGGGUGCUGCAAGUGGUGGUGCUGGAUCUGCUGUUGGUGUCCCUGGUUCAGCAUCUGCAGGUCAAUCCCCUAGUGGAGUUGCUGGAUAUGGGAAUCAAGGUUAUGGAUAUGGUGGGUAUGGUGGGAGUGAUAAUUCUUAUGGGAACCCAGGUGUGUAUGGUGCUGUCGGAGGGCGUUCUGGGAGUGCCCCAAAUGUUAAUGCUAGUGGUCCAGUCGGGAGUGAACUACAAGGUAGUGGCGGUAGCUAUAUGGGUAGUGGCUAUAGCGAUGCAAAUGGGAAUUCAGGGUAUGGAAAUGCAGCAUGGAGAUCUGAACCAACUCAGUCAUCAGGACAUUAUGGUACUCCUCAGGGAAAUGGUGCUCAUGCUGGACAAGGUGGUUAUGGUGGUGGCUAUGGCAGUGCUCAGUCCCGACAAGCCCAACAGCAGUAAUUUUGACAGUUAAAUCUUUUAUUGGAUCUUCAACUUCAACUUGUGGAUGCAAGUCUUUAAUUACGUGCUCAAUGAAUUCUUCCCUGCGGCAAUGGAGUGGCUCAAGUUCGAUGUCAAUACACAAUGGGACUGGAGGAGAGGUGCAGGAGUACUGAAGUGGAGCUAAGUGUCCACUCAAGGCUGAUCACAAGCUUCAUAGGGGGCUUGAUCAGGGGUGUUCAGCAAGGAUUGUUCUUUGUUCAGUCAUUUUGUGUUUUUCUGGACCAAAGCAGCGUUGAAUUUCCUAAUCUUCAAUCUGAUUUGUGGUGAAUGUUUGCGGUACGUUGACUUAAGUAGUUAGCUGUGGCUGAUUAAAAUUUUAGCUUGAAUUUUAGGUGACAUUUUAAUUCUUACUCUAGAUUCUGACAUUCUUUUGAUAUGCUAACCCCAGAGAAUUUUUUUAAUCUAAAAAUGUUGACCGUGAUGUGUCUGUUUUUUCUAAGAUAGGAUUUGCUCAUUACCUCACCCUUUUUUUUGUUUUCAUUCUUGGCAUUUAUGGGUUAUCUUUAAGUUUUAGUCUUGUUGCUAUUGUUUCAGUUCUGAUUGGGUUAAAUUUAUAUUGCUUUGUGGUAUGUGCUUUCUGUUCCUAAUUUUCAGGUUGAUCAAGGAGAUUGUAGUUGUGCUGUCUUUUUCUCUUGGUAGUAAUGACCUAGUAUUAGGUUUUCUAGUCUAUCAAGUGUCGUGUUAUGACCAUUAUUUAUUUCUAUAUUUGAGUAAAUAAAGGUAAUAUGAUAUGGAAACGGGUGAUGAGUUAAUAUAUAGUUGUAUAAUUUACUUUUUCUUGUUUAAAUAAUGAGCUUGUCAAUGUUGAACAUGUUUGUUAAUU